rnacentral:rRNA from 1 species
GUAGGUGGCAAGCGUUGUCCGGAAUUAUUGGGCGUAAAGCGCGCGCAGGCGGUUCUUUAAGUCUGAUGUGAAAGCCCACGGCUCAACCGUGGAGGGUCAUUGGAAACUGGAGAACUUGAGUACAGAAGAGGAAAGCGGAAUUCCACGUGUAGCGGUGAAAUGCGUAGAGAUGUGGAGGAACACCAGUGGCGAAGGCGGCGUUCUGGUCUGUAACUGACGCUGAGGCGCGAAAGCGUGGGGGAGCAAACAGGAUUAGAUACCCUGGUAGUCCACGCCGUAAACGAUGAGUGCUAAGUGUUAGGGGGUUUCCGCCCCUUAGUGCUGCAGCUAACGCAUUAAGCACUCCGCCUGGGAGUACGGCCGCAGGCUG